GAUGAACGCUGGCGGCGUGCCUAACACAUGCAAGUCGAACGGAGUCCAGCCUUUAAGACCUUCGGGUCAAAGAGGGGAAGACUGAGUGGCGGACGGGUGAGUAACACGUGGGCAACCUGGCUCAUAGAGGGGGAUAACAGAGAGAAAUUUCUGCUAAUACCGCAUAAGCACACACUGCGGCAUGGCAGAGGGUGAAAAGAGAAUCGCUAUGAGAUGGACCCGCGUCUGAUUAGCCAGUUGGCAGGGUAAGAGCCUACCAAAGCGACGAUCAGUAGCCGAUCUGAGAGGAUGAACGGCCACAUUGGGACUGAGACACGGCCCAAACUCCUACGGGAGGCAGCAGUGGGGGAUAUUGCACAAUGGGGGGAACCCUGAUGCAGCGACGCCGCGUGAGUGAAGAAGUAUUUCGGGAUGUAAAGCUCUAUCAGCAGGGAAGAUAAUGACAGUACCUGAAUAAGAAGCCCCGGCUAACUACGUG
rnacentral:rRNA from 1 species